CUUCCCGCCCUCGGGGCCCCUCCUCAGAGGCUGCCCUCGUCCAAGAUGGCGCCUUCGCCCCGGCCCUCCGCGGCCGCGGGGCUUUCUCCGCCCGCUUCCCGCGCUGCUUCUGCCCCCGGUGCCUCUCCUCAGGCGGCGCCUCUCGCUCGCUUCCUAGCCGCGGGCCCUCCUCCCUUUCGGCCGCUUUCCGCGCUUCCUUCCCUCCCGCCCUCUUCCAAGAUGGCGUCUUUUGGGUGCUUUGGCGUCACGUCGCUAAGCAACACGGCGCCUCUUCCCGCCUCCUCUCCUGAAAUAGCAGCUGGGGAGGACAAGAAAUGACGAGGAGGGUCGGCCGAGACCCCCUCCCGCACGUCACUUCCUGCGAGGGGGCUGCUGCGCCUGCCUCCUUUUUCCUGCGUGGCGCUUCCUGGGAUUUUCUAGCUACUCUAAUUUGGACAGACUGAACACGGCAGGGG